UACGGAGGGAGCUAGCGUUGUUCGGAAUUACUGGGCGUAAAGCGCGCGUAGGCGGCUUUGUAAGUUAGAGGUGAAAGCCCGGAGCUCAACUCCGGAACUGCCUUUAAAACUGCAUCGCUUGAAUCCAGGAGAGGUGAGUGGAAUUCCGAGUGUAGAGGUGAAAUUCGUAGAUAUUCGGAAGAACACCAGUGGCGAAGGGCGGCUCACUGGACUGGUAUUGACGCGUGAGGUGGACGAAAGCGUGGGGAGCAAACAGG
rnacentral:rRNA from 1 species